rnacentral:rRNA from 1 species
UACGUAGGGUGCGAGCGUUAAUCGGAAUUACUGGGCGUAAAGUGUGCGCAGGCGGCCGAGCAAGUCGAGUGUGAAAGCCCCGGGCUUAACUUGGGAAUUGCGCUCGAAACUACUUGGCUGGAGUGUGGCAGAGGAAGGUGGAAUUCCUGGUGUAGCGGUGAAAUGCGCAGAUAUCAGGAGGAACACCGGUGGCGAAGGCGGGUCUCUGGGCCGAUAUUGACGCUGAGGAGCGAAAGCGUGGGGAGCGAACAGG